rnacentral:tRNA from 8 species
GCCCAGGUGGCGGAACUGGUAGACGCGCUAGCUUCAGGUGCUAGUGCCCUUACGGGCGUGGAGGUUCGAGUCCUCUCCUGGGCACCA